AUUGAACGCUGGCGGCAUGCCUUACACAUGCAAGUCGAACGGUAACGGGCCUUCGGGUGCCGACGAGUGGCGAACGGGUGAGUAAUACAUCGGAACGUGCCCGAUCGUGGGGGAUAACGAGGCGAAAGCUUUGCUAAUACCGCAUACGAUCUACGGAUGAAAGCAGGGGACCGCAAGGCCUUGCGCGGGCGGAGCGGCCGAUGGCAGAUUAGGUAGUUGGUGGGAUAAAAGCUUACCAAGCCGACGACCUGUAGCUGGUCUGAGAGGAUGAUCAGCCACACUGGGACUGAGACACGGCCCAGACUCCUACGGGAGGCAGCAGUGGGGAAUUUUGGACAAUGGGCGCAAGCCUGAUCCAGCCAUGCCGCGUGCAGGAUGAAGGCCUUCGGGUUGUAAACUGCUUUUGUACGGAACGAAAAGCCUUCUUUUAAGACAGGAGGGUCAUGACGGUACCGUAAGAAUAAGCACCGGCUAACUACGUG
rnacentral:rRNA from 1 species